AUUGAACGCUGGCGGCAGGCCUAACACAUGCAAGUCGAACGAGUGGCGGACGGGUGAGUAAUGUCUGGGAAACUGCCUGAUGGAGGGGGAUAACUACUGGAAACGGUAGCUAAUACCGCAUACCAUCGGAUGUGCCCAGAUGGGAUUAGCUAGUAGGUGGGGUAAAGGCUCACCUAGGCGACGAUCCCUAGCUGGUCUGAGAGGAUGACCAGCCACACGGGAACUUGGACAGGGUCCAGACCCCUACGGGAGGCAGCAUUGGGGAAUAUGGCGCAGUGGGCGCAAGCCUGAUGCAGCGAUGCAGCGUGUAUGAAGAAGUCCUUUGGGUUGUAAGGUACUUUCAGCGGGGAGGCGUUGCCCGCAGAAGAAGCGCCGGCUAACUCCGUGCCAGCCGCCGCGGUAAUUC
rnacentral:rRNA from 1 species